GAAGCUGGCCAGACAGUCGCCGCGCACGCGGGUAGGGAGCGUGGAAACUCGCUUCUUUGCCUGGUGCGGGGAGGAAAGUCCGGGCUCCAUAGAGCAGAAUGCCGGUUAACGACCGGACACCGCGAGGUGAUGAACAGUGCCACAGAAAAUAUACCGCCGAUGGCCCGCUUUGGCUACCCGCAAGGGUGGUUGGAGCGGGAUCAGGUAAGGUUGAAAUGGCGGGGUAAGAGCCCACCGCGCUCCCGGUAACGGGAGUGGCACGGUAAACUCCAUUCGGAGCAAGAUCAAAUAGGCUGACUAUGGCGUUGCUCGCGCCGUCAGCGGGUAGAUUGCUUGAGCGUCAGGUAACGAAACGCCUAGAGGAAUGACUGUCCACGACAGAACCCGGCUUAUCGGCCAGCUUCACCC
rnacentral:RNase_P_RNA from 1 species